rnacentral:misc_RNA from 1 species
GAAAUGCGAUAAGUAGUGUGAAUUGUAGAAUUCAGUGAAUCAUCGAAUCUUUGAACGCACAUUGCGCCCCUUGGUAUUCCAUGGGGCAUGCCUGUUCGAGCGUCAUUUGUACCCUCAAGCUCUGCUUGGUGUUGGGUGUUUGUCCCCGUCUCCGCGCGUGGACUCGCCCCAAAGUGAUUGGCAGCCGGCGUACUGGUCCCGGAGCGCAGCACAUGUCGCGCAAACGAGUGCCUUGGUACGGCGGCGUCCAUAAGCCCCUCUCUCACGCUCUUGACCUCGGAUCAGGUAGGGAUACCCGCUGAACUUAAGC